rnacentral:lncRNA from 1 species
AACAAAGCUCGAAAUUAGAGCAAAAACUUAUAAAAUGUAAAUAUUAUAUAGAUUAUUUUUAUGCAGUUUUAUACGAAAUACAAACCCAUGCACCAGGGCUACCUAUGAAGCUUUCUUAUCAAUGUGAACAAAAAAUAAAUUAGCUUAUGAGAAAAUGGAUCAUCGAUAGACACUCGUCAUCUACGAUUAAGAGCUGCUUCACCAGAAACUUCUACACGUUAAGGACCUCCUAUACGGAUUUAGAUCGAUCCAAAGUUACAAUGGUCCAUAUCAUACCUUGGAUCCCAUCCCAAUUCAUGGGAAAGGUAUGUUGGAACAAAAUUUGUUUAAAAACGUACCCAAGGGCGUGAUAGGAAAGUGUUCCUUAGGGAAAACCAUUGGGUGGGGUUGUGUCAUCACAUGGCAGUUACCAAAAAAAAAAGUUACAAAGGGCGUAGAAGAACUGUGGAUCUUUCACCGCUAUUAAUGAUCCCACUUCUACCUCCCACAUUGUAAAAUCUGCAAUGUGACUAUUGCGCAAUAAAAUUACGAUGACGAUGCUCAAAUUAAUAUUACUCAUCCCUCAUACAAUGAAAAUUAAGUUCAACAACAGCAUAUCCUAUUGCAGAUUCGGAUAAAAAACGUGAACUGUAAAUAAUAGACUUUGGUAUUCUGCUAUCAUUCUUCUGGAUUAGAAUAUAACCAAUACGAAGGUUAAUAUAAAUGCAAGAUUAUACCAUUACGUGAGUACAACUGUUGUUGGACCUCCGCCACGCUUUUAAUAUUGACGUCAUAGUUAAUGAGUGGUUGUGUGUGUUUUCAAAAUCUGUUUUUCUUGCACAAUAGUUAGUACAAUACAUUAAAUUAAAAAUUAUAGCAACAGUGAUGUCAAAGACUAUGAGUGGUUGGAUGUUUUGUAAAAAUCUGCCUAUCUUACCCAGCAGUGAGUACAAUACAUCCGAUUGAAAAUUCUAGCAAGCCCGAUUGCAUGAUGGUCUAACCUUGUAUUUCUAUUAACCUUGACCGAUACCAGUUCUUGACGCAUCCAUCAUUAAUAUGAUAGGUAACUUGGAAUCGUAGCGAAAAUAAAAUCAUUCUGUCAGCAUCAAUCAUUGAAAUAUAAAAAAGACGACCCAGAAAAUCUAGUGGAAAAAUAAACUAAAUAAAUUAUUACUAUAUUACAUGGACUUAAAAUAGUUUUUACAGGAAAGAAAAUUUUACAUCGGAGUGGACAAGAGAGAAAAGAAAAUGUUCAUCAUUCAUGAGUAGUACAUUGAAUUCCCUUCUUUCAAUAAUUACUUAGCGGAAAUAAUAUCGAGUGUCGUGUCCUCUUGAGUUCCGGUGGUGUAUUACAACGCCUAAAAUAUGUCGUGUCCCUGGAUGUAGAACAGGAUAUAAGAAUAAAGGGAAGGAUCCAGGGGUCAUUCUGGAUGUAUUCACAAACAAGGAAGAUCUUUGUCAUGAAUGGACUCAAGCAAUUCACAAUCGAAUUGAAAGCCAAGUCAACAUGAUAGAGUGUGUUUUAUUAAUUUAAAUCCCUCCAACUAUGGAGUUACUUCUCAGGACACCGAUGCGAUACCAUCCAAUUUUCCAGAGUUGAAUUUAGAAUAUAUAUAUUAGACUAUAUCUGGAGAACUAUUCCAUUGCCCAUCUACAUGGGACACUAGAAAUAUUUAUGUAUUUCUUCAUUUAUUCUAUAGAGGGGACAAAAGCAUAAGAAAAAAAAAUAUAAGUCAUGUUUGCUUAUGCAAAUACAUAGUCCUAUUUUUCAAUUCUUAACUCAACUCUUCGGUUCUGCCAUUAUAUAUUUUUUCACCUCCUUAGGUUCACCAAAGCACUAUUUGAGGCAUGUUCCCAAAGAUACAUAAAAUAGAACGAGUUGUAUGGCACGAUAUGAAAAUCAAGGUAAUGGGCUAGAAACCCGCAUAUCGGAUUUUUGGAAGCAGAGCUAAAAAGUCAUAUUGAUGGAAUGUCUUUACCUUUUGAUGUACUGAUUCAAUGGAAAGAAGAAUCCCUCUUGUUUUAUGCCCUUGCGAUGGCCCCUUAUCCUCAUUUGAAAUUCAGUCUCUUGGUUAAAUUACUUAUGACCUUUGAAGUGCAUGUUAAUGGAAGUCUUGUGGCCAUGAGAGAUUCUUCUGAGUUUUCUCUACGGCUAUCAUUACAUCAACGAGUCAGAUAUGCAAUAUGAUCUCCAAGACUAAACCGCUAUGUUGGAAAACAGUUAUGUCAAAAACAGACUUCGUCAUUAAGAAUUCCAUUUACUUAAACAUCGGUAUUGUAGAAAAUAUCAAUAGAAGCUUAAAACCAUCGUUACUUUUUUUGAUUGAGCAACAGGAAUUUUGUAAAUCUAAAAAAAGUACCGAGGAAAUACUCCCAAACACCCUCGCAAUGGCUCUGCAUCCACAUCUUUGUAUAAACUUAUAAUGAGCGAAGGAAUACUGAAAUUACCAUCUAUUCAGUAGUUAACAAGGCUUUCAAGCUGCUUUACAGUCGAUACAGGAUUAAGUCUUCAAACCAUAAAAUAUUUAGAACAAAGAAUAAAGAAUCUCAACGAUAGAGAAACAAUUGUAUCCAUUAUUAUGGAUGCAUUAUAUUGUGCAAAAGUUUGUGAGUAUACGGGAGGAAAAUUUACGGCUUUGAACAUGGAAGGGAUAUACCAACCAGGAUAUUGCUUUGUGUGAUGAUCAAGAGCUUAACUAACAAAUAUGAAGACACUAUUGUAAUGGUACCUUUGACAAAAUUAUACUCUCAAAUUCUGAGAAAAUUAUUUUACCAAGUUGUAGAAGCAACAACACCUGUUCGUUUUGAGUAAGGUGCAUCAAUGCUUAAUGGAUAUUCAGCAAACAUAAAAUUCUACACUCAAGAGCUAUGCAACAGCAUAUUGAAUACGCAUAUUGUUAACCCUUGUGAUAGUGGGAAAAAGUUAUUUGUUAUUUGAUGCAGUGCAUAUACAACAGCUUAUUGGGAAGAAAGUUUUUGAAAUGUACUUUGUUUGAUGGUGAAGAAACGAUUGCUGAAUUUAUCCAUAUAAAAAAUUCUAUCAUAUCGAGCAAACAAAACCUGUGAAGUAUACACACAAAUUGAAUGACAAAGUUCUUAACUCUCAUCCGAUUGAAAAAACUAAAGUCAAGCCAGCAGAUGCAUUGUUCUAUGAAAGUACCAUUUAUGAUAUUGAAUUAAUACUAAGAAUAAAAAAAAACUUUUGAAGCUUAUUUUGCGCCGUUGGAAUUUAUUCAACGUUAAAUCUUCAACUACAAGCCUAAAAAGAAAGAUCGGAAUCGUGAACCCAUAACACCAUUUAAUUUUGAACAAAGAAUGCUUUUUGCAAAGAAUUUAUUAAUUGGCUGGAUAAUUUUCGAACUUUUUCAACUUCUGCUAUGAUGGAUUUGACUCAAUAUUUAAUUUUCAAUAAAAUUUUUAGCUAUGUUUUAACUUGAAAAUUCAGUCAGACCCAUUGGAACAAAUGUUUGGUUUCUAUCGAUAUAGUAGUGGAUGCAACUAUUACACAAGUGUGAGACAGUUCCUUGAAACAGAAAAAUCUGUACGAUAAUCUUCACUUAUCAAGUUCAGCCAAAUGAGAUGGGUCGACAUUUGUGAACAUUUUGUUGAGAAAUUUAAGGAUUAUCUUUUUACUGAUGCAGAUCUUCUUCUGGAAAACUUAAUUAUCAAUGUCAUCCCAUCACAUGCUGACUCAGAAAUACUAUUUUACAUUUUCGGAUAUUUUGCAAAAAUCUAUUUUGUGCAUAGUUUUUUGGAUAACCUUUUGCAAACUUUACUUAAAAAGUGAAGAGGACAACUAGCAAAAUAAUCUUUCUAUGCUAUCUCUAUUUGACGAAAUCGAUAACCACACCCUUGAAUCACAUAAGGAUUUUGUCAGAGAUAUAUCAAGAUUAUCUUUAGUAGAACCAUCAGACGAACUAUUUUUCAAUCCAUUGAACAUAAAAAAAUAAUUUCAAAUAAUUUAAACCCACGAAAUCUCUUGUUAGAAGCUUCAUUCAGUACAUUAAAAAUGAGUCUAGUCUUUUGCUUGCCGACAAUUUGAGACUGGUUAUCUGUUCGAAAAAUAUAUUAAGAAAGGUGUAUUUAAAUUAAUAUCAUGAGCAAAAAUUUUGCUCAAGAAAAUAAUAACUUAAUUCAUGAAAACCGAAAAAGAUAUGCCAUAACAGCAAAAAAAAGUCUUUUGGAUAAGGCAAAGAAGUUAAGAUCUGAGAAGAAAUAAGCUCCAUGAUAAUAAUUUGGCUUUGAAAUAUAUAUUUAUUUAAUGAUAA